GAAAAGAAAAGACUACAAAUAGCCGAAAGCAUAGGAAGAAGUCUCAGAGUAGUGAAAGAAAUUACAGAUGCUAUAAAUCACUUAAAACUGCAGACAGUAACUACUUGGAUGAUAGAUCCACACAUGAGAGAGACCAUCAUGACCGAAGAUAUGUUGAGGAAUAUCGAAAUGACUUCUGUGACAUAGAUGACCAUGAGCAUUGUCACAGACAUUAUGAAAAGAGCCAUUGCCAUCAUUAUAGUAAAUCAUCUGGUCAAAGUGGGAAAAAGAAUCAUAAACGAAAGCAUAAGAAACACGAUCCCAGCUACAGCUCACAUCCGAUGAGGUUAUUGCUACUUUAGGGGAAGGCGCUUUUGGGAAAGUCGUAGAAUGCAUUGAUCAUGACAUGUAUGUAUUCUGUUUUCUCAAAAGUAUUACCAAAUGAAAUGUGUUUAUAUGACGGUAGAAAUCCUUCUGCACAUGUUAUUAAUUUA